rnacentral:lncRNA from 1 species
UUAGUAUCUUUCACGUCAAAUUAGAAACACAUAUUUGGAAUUUACUGCUGCAGUCUCUACUGUGCUUAUCAUGGUAGUGGCUGAAACUGGAAGACAUUUUUUUUUAAACCCUGAAGUCAUCCAUACUUGCUACUUAUUUAGUCUUCUUGCUUGGAAUGAAAAGUAUUCACGAAUACCACCACCUAAGCACCUGUUUAAAAUGAAACUCAGCCUUCAGCUUGCAAAAUGAUGUCUUUAUAAUUAAGCAAACAGCAGAAGACCCAUGCAAGUUGUUUCUUUCUUCCUGGAGAAGUUGGCAGGAUAACUGGAAUCCUAGGAGCUCCUCUGUAUUGAAUUUGCCAAGUCCUGAGUUCAGAAUUUUGUUUUUGAGAUGAAUAUAAAAGCACCUAAUGGUCAAGGAAAAUUUUCUUCCUGUGAUAAGGAACCUUUGCUUUAGUGUAGAUGACCACUCCCCUCUGCAAGGUAGGGAGGAAGAAUGUUCGGUUAGUUCCUUUCCUCUGGCCGAUCUCUUUUUUUCUUCUCUUCGCACAGUCCAACAGAUGCGCUCGGCCUCCCGGGAGCUAGCCCGCCCCCGGCCCAGAGGCCAAUUUACAGCCGCACGCCUCACUCCACCAUCCUCGCAGCUUCUCCGCGGAUAACUUCUUAACCAAGUGGCCGAACUUAGUACCACCAAUGCUGGAACAAAGUGACAUCAUGUGCCUUGCAUUGUGAUGCAACUAAGAAUACAACAUCUCUUGUGAAGUUGUUUUAUCAAAAAAUGUUUAACCUAAAUCUAACGAGAAAACAGACAAAUCCAACUUACAGACAUUCUGAAAAGCGACGAGCUUGGACUCUUCAAAAAUGUCCAUGUCAUGAAAGACAAAAAGCCAG